GACGAACGCUGGCGGCGUGCUUAACACAUGCAAGUCGAACGGAAAGGCCCUGCUUUUGUGGGGUGCUCGAGUGGCGAACGGGUGAGUAACACGUGAGUAACCUGCCCUUGACUUUGGGAUAACUUCAGGAAACUGGGGCUAAUACCGGAUAGGAGCUCCUGCUGCAUGGUGGGGGUUGGAAAGUUUCGGCGGUUGGGGAUGGACUCGCGGCUUAUCAGCUUGUUGGUGGGGUAGUGGCUUACCAGGGCUUUGACGGGUAGCCGGCCUGAGAGGGUGACCGGCCACAUUGGGACUGAGAUACGGCCCAGACUCCUACGGGAGGCAGCAGUGGGGAAUAUUGCACAAUGGGCGGAAGCCUGAUGCAGCAACGCCGCGUGCGGGAUGACGGCCUUCGGGUUGUAAACCGCUUUCGCCUGUGACGAAGCGUGAGUGACGGUAAUGGGUAAAGAAGCACCGGCUAACUACGUGCCAGCAGCCGCGGUGAUACGUAGGGUGCGAGCGUUGUCCGGAUUUAUUGGGCGUAAAGGGCUCGUAGGUGGUUGAUCGCGUCGGAAGUGUAAUCUUGGGGCUUAACCCUGAGCGUGCUUUCGAUACGGGUUGACUUGAGGAAGGUAGGGGAGAAUGGAAUUCCUGGUGGAGCGGUGGAAUGCGCAGAUAUCAGGAGGAACACCAGUGGCGAAGGCGGUUCUCUGGGCCUUUCCUGACGCUGAGGAGCGAAAGCGUGGGGAGCGAACAGGCUUAGAUACCCUGGUAGUCCACGCUGUAAACGGUGGGUACUAGGUGUGGGGUCCAUUCCACGGGUUCCGUGCCGUAGCUAACGCUUUAAGUACCCCGCCUGGGGAGUACGGCCGCAAGGCUAAAACUCAAAGGAAUUGACGGGGCCCCGCACAAGCGGCGGAGCAUGCGGAUUAAUUCGAUGCAACGCGUAGAACCUUACCUGGGUUUGACAUGGAUCGGGAGCGCUCAGAGAUGGGUGUGCCUCUUUUGGGGUCGGUUCACAGGUGGUGCAUGGCUGUCGUCAGCUCGUGCCGUGAGAUGUUGGGUUAAGUCCCGCAACGAGCGCAACCCUUGUUCACUGUUGCCAGCACGUUAUGGUGGGGACUCAGUGGAGACCGCCGGGGUCAACUCGGAGGAAGGUGGGGAUGACGUCAAGUCAUCAUGCCCCUUAUGUCCAGGGCUUCACGCAUGCUACAAUGGCUGGUACAGAGAGUGGCGAGCCUGUGAGGGUGAGCGAAUCUCGGAAAGCCGGUCUCAGUUCGGAUUGGGGUCUGCAACUCGACCUCAUGAAGUCGGAGUCGCUAGUAAUCGCAGAUCAGCAACGCUGCGGUGAAUACGUUCCCGGG
rnacentral:rRNA from 1 species